GUCCUCUUGAUUAAUUAAGAGGUCUGGCCUGCCCAGUGAAAUUUUUAACGGCCGCGGUAUAUUGACCGUGCAAAGGUAGCAUAAUCAUUAGUCUUUUAAUAGGAGGCUGGAAUGAAAGGUUUAACGAAAAAUUGGCUGUCUCAAUUUAUAAUUUUGAAUUUAACUUUUAAGUUAAAAGGCUUAAAUUUUAUUGUAGGACGAGAAGACCCUAUAGAGCUUUACAUUUAUUAAUUUUUAAUUUUUUUGGUUUUAUGAUUUUAAAUUUAUUUUUUUUAUUGUUUUGUUGGGGUGACAUGAAAUAUAUAAUUAACUUUUAUUAUUUAUAUUUACAUAUAUAAAUGUUUACUUGAUCCAAUAUUUUUGAUUAUUAGAUUAAGUUACCUUAGGGAUAACAGCGUAAUCCCUCUCCAGAGUUCUUAUUUACAGAGGGGGUUGCGACCUCGAUGUUGGAUUAAGAUUAUAAUUAGGUGCAGUAGCUUAAUUAAUAGGUCUGUUCGACCUUUAAAUUCUUACAUGAUCUGAGUUCAGACCGG
rnacentral:rRNA from 1 species